UGAGGAAUAUUGGUCAAUGGACGCAAGUCUGAACCAGCCAAGUAGCGUGCAGGAUGACGGCCCUAUGGGUUGUAAACUGCUUUUAUAUGGGGAUAAAGUGGGGAACGUGUUCCCUUUUGCAGGUACCAUAUGAAUAAGGACCGGCUAAUUCCGUGCCAGCAGCCGCGGUAAUACGGAAGGUUCGGGCGUUAUCCGGAUUUAUUGGGUUUAAAGGGAGCGUAGGCCGGUUGGUAAGCGUGUUGUGAAAUGUAGGAGCUCAACUUCUAGAUUGCAGCGCGAACUGUCAGACUUGAGUGCGCACAACGUAGGCGGAAUUCAUGGUGUGGCGAUGAAAUGCUUAGAUAUCAUGAAGAACUCCGAUUGCGAAGGCAGCUUACGGGAGCGCAACUGACGCUGAAGCUCGAAGGUGCGGGUAUCGAACAGG
rnacentral:rRNA from 1 species